rnacentral:rRNA from 1 species
AUACGGAGGGUCCGAGCGUUAUCCGGAAUCAUUGGGUUUAAAGGGUCCGUAGGCGGGAAUCUAAGUCAGUGGUGAAAUCUUGCAGCUCAACUGUAAAAUUGCCAUUGAUACUGGAUUUCUUGAAUUAGUGUGAAGUGGUUAGAAUGUGUAGUGUAGCGGUGAAAUGCAUAGAUAUUACACAGAAUACCAAUUGCGAAGGCAGAUCACUAACACUAUAUUGACGCUGAGGGACGAAAGCGUGGGGUGCGAACAGGAGUAGAAACCCUAGUAGUCC